AUUAUUGUUUAACUAGUAUUAUUGUUUAACUAGUAUUAAUGUUUAACUAGUAUUAAUGUUUAACUAGUAUUAAUGUUUAACUAGUAUUAAUGUUUAACUAGUAUUAAUGUUUAAUAUUUAAUUAGUACUACUGGUAUUAAUAAGUAUUACUCUGUAGAAGUCGGACCGUUUAAAGGUUUUAUUGUGUGUAUUUUGUGAAGCAGCCUGGUUGAUUUAUGACUAUAAAGCUGAUGAAGGUUUCUGGUUUCAGUGACUUGUUUUGAACUUUAGCUCUGGCAGCCAUCUUGAAUCUUUAAUUAGCUCUCAGCAUGUGUUGAUCACUCAGCUGCUGCCACACAACUAUUGUUUCACAUUUUUAACUUUAAAAGAAAGUGAAAGGAGCAAAUAAAUAAAACUGUUAAAGGUGGCAGAAAACUUACAAGAUAAACACAAAAAGAUGAAAUUUUCAUGAAAGCAGCUAAAACGAGCUGAAACUGGCAGAAGAACAAGAAGAGGAAAACUUUAGCUGUUGUGUAGCAGAAAAAAGCUAAACUUGUCAAAAAGUUUAACUUGAUCAAACAUCCUGAAGGUCCUGGAAGGGUUAAACCUUUCUGAAGUAUUAAAAUAAAAACAACACAAACUAGAUUUAAAUCAAGAGAAACAGGAAAACAGCAGUGUGAAAGUUUAACAAACACACAACAGGUAACAACACAAACACAACUCACACUAAAAUUAAUACACAAACUCACUGUUUUUAAUGGUGACUGAAUUUAAAGUGAUCAACAACAACAACAACAACAGUGUUUGUGUAGAAACACCUGCUGUUUAUCACAGGUGUUCUGCCUCACACCACUGUGCAACAAACACACAACAGGUAACAACACAAAGAUGAAAGAAAGGGCUCAGAGUUCAGCUCGUCACUUCCUGUAACACCAGGUGUAAACACACAUUAAAUAAAGAACGGCUCAGCAGGUAACACUUCAACUGGGACUGACAACUACACACAGGUCCACUGAAGGACACACAACACAACCAGGUCAACAACACAAAAACAAACAAAAAGAACCACUGUGGGACAAAACACCUGCAGAGACAAACUAAAAACAGCAGUCAGGUCACCUGUUAACAGGAACCAAUCAGCAGUCAGGUCACCUGUUAACAGGAACCAAUCAGCAGUCAGGUCACCUGUUAACAGGAACCAAUCAGCAGUCAGGUCUCUGCUGUUAAAGUAA